AGUAAAGUGUCUGACCAAAAGUAAUAAAUUGUAAAUUUAUCCAUAGAAAAUAUCCUUUUUCUCUUUACUA
rnacentral:tRNA from 1 species